GUGGGUAGUUUGACUGGGGCGGUCUCCUCCUAAAGAGUAACGGAGGAGCACGAAGGUUGGCUAAUCCUGGUCGGACAUCAGGAGGUUAGUGCAAUGGCAUAAGCCAGCUUGACUGCGAGCGUGACGGCGCGAGCAGGUGCGAAAGCAGGUCAUAGUGAUCCGGUGGUUCUGAAUGGAAGGGCCAUCGCUCAACGGAUAAAAGGUACUCCGGGGAUAACAGGCUGAUACCGCCCAAGAGUUCAUAUCGACGGCGGUGUUUGGCACCUCGAUGUCGGCUCAUCACAUCCUGGGGCUGAAGUAGGUCCCAAGGGUAUGGCUGUUCGCCAUUUAAAGUGGUACGCGAGCUGGGUUUAGAACGUCGUGAGACAGUUCGGUCCCUAUCUGCCGUGGGCGCUGGAGAACUGAGGGGGGCUGCUCCUAGUACGAGAGGACCGGAGUGGACGCAUCACUGGUGUUCGGGUUGUCAUGCCAAUGGCACUGCCCGGUAGCUAAAUGCGGAAGAGAUAAGUGCUGAAAGCAUCUAAGCACGAAACUUGCCCCGAGAUGAGUUCUCCCUGAGACUUAGAGUCUCCUGAAGGAACGUUGAAGACGACGACGUUGAUAGGCCGGGUGUGUAAGCGCAGCGAUGCGUUGAGCUAACCGGUA
rnacentral:rRNA from 4 species